rnacentral:lncRNA from 1 species
AUCUUUUCUCUUGCCCCAUCCCAUGUCACUGGUUUCUACAUGGCCUUUCACUACCGCCACAGAAUUUCUAAAGAGACUAUCAAGAUCAUAUGCUAAUGGCUUCUUUUUGCUGAAGAUACGUCUGUUAAUAAAAAAUUCUACCUGUACACUUUGCCAGACAUCUUUGGAUCAGCAUGACUAUAAUCACAACUGUUCUGAUGCCUUUUAG